AGCGAACGCUGGCGGCAGGCUUAACACAUGCAAGUCGAGCGGGCCUUUCGGGGUCAGCGGCGGACGGGUGAGUAACGCGUGGGAACGUGCCCUCUGGUUCGGAAUAACUCAGGGAAACUUGAGCUAAUACCGGAUACGCCCUUUUGGGGAAAGGCUUGCUGCCGGAGGAUCGGCCCGCGUCUGAUUAGCUAGUUGGUGAGGUAACGGCUCACCAAGGCGACGAUCGGUAGCUGGUCUGAGAGGAUGAUCAGCCACACUGGGACUGAGACACGGCCCAGACUCCUACGGGAGGCAGCAGUGGGGAAUAUUGGACAAUGGGCGCAAGCCUGAUCCAGCCAUGCCGCGUGAGUGAUGAAGGCCUUAGGGUUGUAAAGCUCUUUUAUCCGGGACGAUAAUGACGGUACCGGAGGAAUAAGCCCCGGCUAACUUCGUG
rnacentral:rRNA from 1 species